GUGAGUUUUUCUCCCCUCCAGGUAAAAGAGAAGAUGUCUUGUGAGUCUUUGUUCAGGGGGAUGCAGAAGAAGGCGUUGGCCAGGUCUAUUGCAGAGAACCAGAGGUGGUCGGGGUUAACCACGUGGAGCGCCACCUGCGGUUUUGGCACCCUCUCAGGGGGUCCUUCCGUGGCGUCGUUUACUAGGCGGAGAUCAUGGGACAUCCUCCACCCUCGAAUGGACCACCUCUACCGCAAUCUGCAUAAUACUCCUGAUGAGCCCAGCAGACCAAUGCAACGCAACCACCAGCAACAACGACCGACUCCCAACCAUAGCGGAUUCCCAGCUAACCACAUCAUCACACAACCAGUUUGCAAGCCUACUUGCUGCAGCUCAAACCCACUUCAACACCACCAAGAAUGGGCCCCUUACUCCAAUGAAGAGUUACCAAAUGGAAAAUGAGUGACCUAACAUGCUAGGCAUAAAUUUUACUAAUGUAC
ensembl:lncRNA